ACUCCUACGGGAGGCAGCAGUGGGAAUAUUGGACAAUGGGCGAAAGCCUGAUCCAGCCAUGCCGCGUGAGUGAUGAAGGCCCUAGGGUUGUAAAGCUCUUUCAACGGUGAAGAUAAUGACGGUAACCGUAGAAGAAGCCCGCCGUACAUUCGUGCCAGCAGCCGCGGUAAUACGAAGGGCGUAGCGUUGUUCGGAAUUACUGGGCGUAAAGCGCACGUAGGCGGAUUGUUAAGUGAGGGU
rnacentral:rRNA from 1 species